AUUGAACGCUGGCGGCAGGCCUAACACAUGCAAGUCGAGCGGUUGAGAGUAGCUUGCUACUUGAUGCAGCGGCGGACGGGUGAGUAAUGCAUGGGAAUCUGCCUGGUAGUGGGGGACAACGUUUCGAAAGGAACGCUAAUACCGCAUACGCCCUACGGGGGAAAGGGGGGGAUCUUCGGACCUCUCGCUAUCAGAUGAGCCCAUGUCAGAUUAGCUAGUUGGGGGGGUAAAGCCCACCAAGGCGACGAUCUGUAACUGGUCUGAGAGGAUGAUCAGUCACACUGGAACUGAGACACGGU
rnacentral:rRNA from 1 species